UACGUAGGGUGCGAGCGUUAAUCGGAAUUACUGGGCGUAAAGCGUGCGUAGGCGGUUCGCUGUGUCCGAUGUGAAAGCCCCGGGCUUAACCUGGGAAUGGCAUUGGAAACUGGCGGGCUUGAGUGCGGCAGAGGGGGGUGGAAUUCCGCGUGUAGCAGUGAAAUGCGUAGAGAUGCGGAGGAACACCGAUGGCGAAGGCAGCCCCCUGGGUCGACACUGACGCUCAGGCACGAAAGCGUGGGGAGCAAACAGG
rnacentral:rRNA from 1 species